rnacentral:ncRNA from 1 species
AGGUUAGCACUCCCCUUGAAAAGGACGAAAUUCAUCUUCGGGUGACAACAUGCACACGAAUUGCCACUUACUUUGUGGCAUCUUAGCACGUUUUUCC